rnacentral:rRNA from 1 species
AGCGAACGCUGGCGGCAGGCCUAACACAUGCAAGUCGAACGAUCCUUCGGGAUAGUGGCGGACGGGUGAGUAACACGUGGGAACGUGCCCUUUGGUUCGGAACAACUCAGGGAAACUUGAGCUAAUACUGAAUGUGCCCUUCGGGGGAAAGAUUUAUCGCCAUUGGAGCGGCCCGCGUCUGAUUAGCUAGUUGGUGAGGGAAAGGCUCACCAAGGCGACGAUCAGUAGCUGGUCUGAGAGGAUGAUCAGCCACAUUGGGACUGAGACACGGCCCAAACUCCUACGGGAGGCAGCAGUGGGGAAUCUUGCGCAAUGGGCGAAAGCCUGACGCAGCCAUGCCGCGUGAAUGAUGAAGGUCUUAGGAUUGUGAAAUUCUUUCACCGGGGACGAUAAUGACGGUACCCGGAGAAGAAGCCCCGGCUAACUUCGUGCCAGCCGCCGCGGUAACAC